rnacentral:misc_RNA from 1 species
GUAUUGAUUGCGUGUGACCGCAAAAACAAAACAUUCUAGACUGUAUCAAAUUUUGUGUGAAAACGUGAGCCCUCCUGCAAAGGGGGGACCCGCGCGGUGAUGCACAAAGGGGUGAGAUGGAUUGUGUGAGAGUGCUCGGGCGUGCACAACCUUUAAAAGGUCAGCGACAGCCCUUGCACCUCGGUUAUACAAUAAUGAUCCUUCCGCAGGUUCACCUACGGAAA